AACGCGAAGAACCUUACCAAGGUUUGACAUGGCCGGAAAAGCAUCAGAGAUGGUGUGUCCUUCGGGGUCGGUCACAGGUGGUGCAUGGCUGUCGUCAGCUCGUGUCGUGAGAUGUUGGGUUAAGUCCCGCAACGAGCGCAACCCUCGUCCUAUGUUGCCAGCGGGUAAUGCCGGGGACUCAUGGGAGACUGCCGGGGUCAACUCGGAGGAAGGUGGGGAUGACGUCAAGUCAUCAUGCCCCUUAUGUCUUGGGCUGCAAACAUGCUACAAUGGCCGGUACAGAGGGCUGCGAGACCGCGAGGUUAAGCGAAUCCCGGAAAGCCGGUCUCAGUUCGGAUCGGGGUCUGCAACUCGGCCCCGUGAAGCUGGAGUCGCUAGUAAUCGCGGAUCAGCAACGCCGCGGUGAAUACGUUCCCGGGCCUUGUA
rnacentral:rRNA from 1 species